UAUCUUCCUCAGCAUGCUGCACACCACCCCAAGGAGCAGCCCGGUGAAGAAGAAGCCUACAGCAAUGGCAGCUGGGAAGGAAAAUGAUGUCUGCAGAGGUUCCUGGGAUCUGUAUGCUUCUUGGGAUGAUUUUUCUGGGAAAAUGAACACAAAGCCAUUGGUAGGAGAGGACACAAGCAGACUUCCACUUGGCUGACAGACACCACCCAGGAGUCAGCUGCAGACUGCAAACUGCUGAGCCCUGGACUGAGAGUUGAUGUAAGCCAGUCCAGCUGAUGUGAUCCAGUCCAGCUGAUGUGAUCCAGUCCAGCUGAUGUGAUUGCUCCGUGUCUCUUCAGCUGGGUCAGCUAAGCAAAGAUGCUUCUGAUGAGUUCCCCACUGCCCAGCCUCUGCUGAGCCAUUCAGCCUUCCUGGGCCCUGACAAUGAUGCCCUAAUUUCAACUGCAAUUAGUUAGAAAAUUGAACACGAUGUCCCUGGUCCCCUAAAAGGUUGAAAUGCCAAGUCAAAAGAAGACAUCCUGGCAUAGGGGACAAAAUGGCUACCUGUAAUGCCAACUGGCAUACCAGGAAAGUGGGCUCAGAUUUAUCAACAGGUAGAUUCAUUAAUUGAAACAGUUCUACAACACGAUUGGGCUCUUGGCCUGCUUUAUACAGAGCAAAGAGGUAUUAUUAUAUGACUUUAAGAGGAAAUUAUUGUUUCUACACGAGCCAUUCAGGAUUAUAAUCUGAGUAUACUCAAGGAAGCAUUACAAAAAGGGGACCCGAGAUACCUGGUCACAUGGACACAGGGCCUGCUGGAGGGAGUUCAAAAGCCACCAAGAAUCAGGGAUCAAAGUACUAGGGAGGGGGAGAUCACGUGGGCAUGGCACAAGGACCUUAUGGAGCCCUGUGGCUGGAGUAGAGGGGAGAGACACAGAAGGGAGCCAGGGUGCCUGGGCAGUGCAGAGCAGCACUCAGUCUCAAGCAGAGAAAACCCGAAAAGAAAGAAGCCAAGGGGGAAGAAAGAAAAAUCAAUCUUUGUAAGAUUCCUGUGGCUGCUAAGCAGUCUCUCCCACUAUGAAGGGGGAUCAGAGGUGACACCGGCUACCACUUUUAUGCAUCAGCAGUCUUGACUGGUUUUAGGCAGUAUGUAACAGGUUUCAGAAGCCCUAGAUGCAUGGGUCCCAAGAACUGUCUCCAAUGUGAUCCAGGGUACCAAAGGAGUUGGUGGCUGGAUUGGCUUGCAUUGGCCCAAACCCAGCAUCAUAACGACACUGACCUUAGUUUAGACUAGAAGUACACCUCCCUGUGCACCUGGGUGCAGAGUCACCACCUCAGAACUGCUAUGGGCCUGAUCUGGACCAGGUCAAGGACAACAGGAAGCAUCUUCAGCCUCAGCCUUGACCUUGAGGAUUCAAUGUGUAGGGCUAAGCAAGUGUUUUGUGGUUUAAAAAACAUUUAUUUUAUAUCUAUGUGUGCACACGUGAUUGUAUGAAUUUGCACCACAGGUUUGCCUGCGGAGAUCAGAAAAGAUGUUGCAUCCCCUGGGACUGGAGUUAUAGAUGGUUGUAUCAUGUUGGCGAUGGGGACCAAGCUGAGGUCCUCUGCAGGAGCACCCAGUACCCUUAAUCCCUGACCCAUGUUUCCAGCCCUGUCUUGUGGGUUUUUAUGUUUCUCAAUAACACAUGUAUAUCCUAGCAGA